rnacentral:rRNA from 1 species
CAGCCGCCGCGGUAAUACGAAGGGUGCAAGCGUUAAUCGGAAUUACUGGGCGUAAAGCGUGCGUAGGCGGUGAGUUAAGUCUGCUGUGAAAUCCCUGGGCUCAACCUGGGAAUUGCAGUGGAUACUGGAUCACUAGAGUGUGGUAGAGGAUAGUGGAAUUUCCGGUGUAGCAGUGAAAUGCGUAGAGAUCGGAAGGAACAUCUGUGGCGAAGGCGACUAUCUGGGCCAACACUGACACUGAGGCACGAAAGCGUGGGGAGCAAACAGGAUUAGAUACCCGCGUAGUCCCUGUCUCUUAUAA